UGGGGAAUUUUGGACAAUGGGGGAAACCCUGAUCCAGCCAUCCCGCGUGUGCGAUGAAGGCCUUCGGGUUGUAAAGCACUUUUGGCAGGAAAGAAACGUCGCGGGUUAAUACCCCGCGGAACUGACGGUACCUGCAGAAUAAGCACCGGCUAACUACGUGCCAGCAGCCGCGGUAAUACGUAGGGUGCAAGCGUUAAUCGGAAUUACUGGGGCGUAAAGCGUGCGCAGGCGGUUCGGAAAGAAAGAUGUGAAAUCCCAGAGCUUAACUUUGGAACUGCAUUUUUAACUACCGGGCUAGAGUGUGUCAGAGGGAGGUGGAAUUCCGCGUGUAGCAGUGAAAUGCGUAGAUAUGCGGAGGAACACCGAUGGCGAAGGCAGCCUCCUGGGAUAACACUGACGCUCAUGCACGAAAGCGUGGGGAGCAAACAGGAUUAGAUACCCUGGGUAGUCCACGCCCU
rnacentral:rRNA from 1 species